rnacentral:rRNA from 1 species
ACUCAAAUGAAUAGACGGGGGCCCGCACAAGCGGUGGAGCAUGUGGUUUAAUUCGAUGCAACGCGAAAAACCUUACCUACCCUUGACAUCCUCAGAACUUGUUAGAGAUAACUUGGUGCCUUCGGGAACUGAGAGACAGGUGCUGCAUGGCUGUCGUCAGCUCGUGUCGUGAGAUGUUGGGUUAAGUCCCUUAACGAGCGCAACCCUCGUCCUUAGUUGCCACCCCUUACGGGAGCACUCUAAGGAGACUGCCGGUGAUAAACCGGAGGAAGGUGGGGAUGAUGUCAAGUCAUCAUGGCCCUUACGGGUAGGGCUACACACGUGCUACAAUGGGCAGUACAGAGGGUUGCUAAGUCGCAAGAUGGAGCUAAUCCCCUAAAGCUGCUCUCAGUCCGGAUUGGAGUCUGCAACUCGACUCCAUGAAGUUGGAAUCGCUAGUAAUCGCGAAUCAGCAUGUCGCGGUGAAUACGUUCUCGGGCCUUGUACACACCGCCCGU